GGCUCAGUGGCGUAGUGGGCUAACACGCAGGGCUCAGGGUAGACCUAAGACGCGAGUUCGAAUCCCACUUGAGCCG
rnacentral:tRNA from 1 species